AGUGAGAUAGUGGAGAGAACUAAAAAAAUUAAGUGAUUCCGUCUCAAAACUUCUUUGACCGAGUGAUGUUAUAUAAUUUUCAGAAGGAAGUGUAUUGUUUUAUUUUGAGAGAUUAAAGUAUAGAGACACAAUCUUCGGAAGAAAUCUUUUUUAAAGGGAUAUUUGGAGAUCGUUACAGAAGAACGAAGAGAGGUUUUGAUGCAUGUUUUGAAUGUAUCAUUUUAUUUUGUUGUUUCGUUGCAACGC
rnacentral:lncRNA from 1 species